rnacentral:rRNA from 1 species
UACGUAGGGGGCAAGCGUUGUCCGGAAUCAUUGGGCGUAAAGAGCGUGUAGGCGGCCAGAUAAGUCCGCUGUGAAAUCUCGAGGCUCAACUUCGAGCUGUCGGUGGAAACUGUCUGGCUAGAGUCCGGAAGAGGAGAAUGGAAUUCCUGGUGUAGCGGUGAAAUGCGCAGAUAUCAGGAGGAACACCUGUGGCGAAAGCGGCUCACUGGACCACAACUGACGCUGAGGCGCGAAAGCUAGGGGAGCAAACAGG